AUGCUGACGUUGAAGGUGUGCUCGUCGACGAGGUGGAAGACACAGAGGUCCCCGACCUUGAUCCCAUGGUGGCCGGAGAAGUGGCCCCACCCAGCCUUCAUGCGCGCCUGGUCGCUCGUCAGCGUCAGCUUCACGGGCCACGACCUCCCGCCCGAGUCCUUGAGUAUCAUCAGCCGGUUCGUCGCGAUGCCGUUCAUGACGCAGAACUUCUUCCCGAUGUUCUACACGAGCUGUAGCGAAUGUUGCAAGGAGUCGCCGUCUUGGCGUAGAAAGGGAGGGUGCCGGUGUACUCGGACUCCUUGGCCUCCGUUGCGAUGCCGGAGUGGGUGUCCGCUUGGGCGUACUUCUCUGUGGUGGCAUCUUGCUCGCCAUCAUUGUCUUCCAUCAGAAUCCUGCGAGGUUUGUACUGCUUCUUUGCCUGUAUGA
rnacentral:rRNA from 1 species